rnacentral:rRNA from 1 species
UACGUAGGGUGCAAGCGUUGUCCGGAAUUAUUGGGCGUAAAGAGCUCGUAGGCGGUCUGUCACGUCGGCUGUGAAAUCCCGAGGCUCAACCUCGGGUCUGCAGUCGAUACGGGCAAACUAGAGUAUUGCAGGGGAGACUGGAAUUCCUGGUGUAGCGGUGAAAUGCGCAGAUAUCAGGAGGAACACCGGUGGCGAAGGCGGGUCUCUGGGCAAUAGCUGACGCUGAGGAGCGAAAGCGUGGGGAGCGAACAGG